ensembl:ncRNA C43G2.25 ncRNA
CCUUCCUUCGGUCGCCGAAAUUUUCCAACAAUCCCUCAGAUGUCUACGCUUCUUUGAUUCAUGUUAUGUCUAUGAAUAUGGAGAUGGUAUAGGUGUAUAGUUAUGUGUACGUUUAUGUAUAAUGAG